GACGAACGCUGGCGGCGUGCUUAACACAUGCAAGUCGAACGGAAAGGCCCUGCUCUUGCGGGGUGCUCGAGUGGCGAACGGGUGAGUAACACGUGAGUAACCUCUCCUUGACUUUGGGAUAACUCCAGGAAACUGGGGCUAAUACCCGAUAGGAGCUCCUGCUGCAUGGUGGGGGUUGGAAAGAUUCGGCGGUUGGGGAUGGAAUCGCGGCUUAUCAGCUUGUUGGUGGGGUAGUGGCUUACCAAGGGUUUGACGGGUAGCCGGCCUGAGCGGGUGACCGGCCACAAUGGGACUGAGGUACGGCCCAGACUGCUACGGGAGGCAGCAGUGGGGAAUAUGGCACAGUGGGCGGAAGCCUGAUGCGGCAACGCCGCGUGCGGGAUGACGGCCUUCGGGUUGUAAACCGAUUUCGCCUGUGACGAAGCGUGAGUGACGGUAAUGGGUAAAGAAGCACCGGCUAACUACGUG
rnacentral:rRNA from 1 species